rnacentral:lncRNA from 1 species
UGAUCCCUUUCGCUGUAUGGCGUGCUCGUUUGGGUUGGGCGUCGGCUAAGAGUGCUCAGAGCGUGGAUUAACUCCAGUCUCCUAUCAGGUGUGUAUUUCUCACUACUCUAGUUGUAGGAUGGCUACUUCGGGCCGCGAUGGGCCGAAAAGGGCCAUGUGGGCGCAAUGGGCCUACGAGCCCAAUUGGAUAAGUUGUUUGAUUGUGUAGUAAAUAUUGGACUAGGCUAGGUGAAUCUCAUAUUUGUGCCUAGAUUUUGGCUAAAAGGGCCACACGAGCGUAUGGGCCCAUUUGGGCCGAGAAUAAGCUUUAGGCUCAUUCGUAUUGUUAUCCCUCUUUAGAAUACUUUAGUUUACCAAAUUACUGAAAUACCCUCGACUUGUAAAAUUACCAAAGUACCCCUAAUUUACAAAAUUACCGUUUUACCCUCGAUUUACAAAAUUAUUGAAAUACCCUUGUAGGGUAGAAUUACUGAAAUACCCCAGUAGGGUAGAAUUAUCGAAAUACCCUUGUAGGGUAGAAAUACCAAAAUACCCCUGUAGGGUAGAAUUAUCGAGAUACCAUUAUGGGGUAAAAUUACCAUUUUGCCCCUAAGGUAUUAAUUGACUGUUUUGCCCUUGUGGGCAAGUGACUGACUUGGACUGUGUGGUUGAUGGAUUUGAUUGUGAAUAUAUGUUGGUGAUAUGAAUGACUUGACUGUGAUUGUUUGAUUCAAAUAUGGGCAUGACAUUCUGCAUACAUGACAUGUUGCAUGGGUUGGGUUUUAUAAAUGCAGAAAGUGCUAAAAGGGCUAUGCCCCAAUUUACCGAAAAGGGCUUUGCCCCAGUUUAUCAAAAAGGGCUUUGCCCCAGUUAUUAAACGAGGUUAGGCCUCCAGUUAUAUGAUAAAGCAGCUAUGCUGCCAGUGGAGAGUUUGGUUGGGUGGGUUGAGUUAUUCCCCACAUGGUGUGUUGGUUGGUACGGGUGGAGAGUAGCGGAUGGUGGGUUGAGUAGUCUCCCCAAAUGGGCUUGCAUACAUUCAUUGAUAUUACAUGUGAUAUUGAAAUGGGCCUAUGGGCCAUACCGCUUACAGUAAAGGCUUCGGCCAGUGAUAUGAUUUAUGAAAAGGCUUCGGCCCAGUGAUAUGAUUUAUGAAAAGGCUUCGGCCCAGUAUAUGUCGAGACUGAAUUAGGGCUUAGGCCCAUACUACUACUGUUUAAGGGCUAAGGCCCAGACUGUACUGUUACUCAAUAGGGCUUUGGCCCAGACUGUACUGACACUGUGUUAUUCACUGUUUGUUUGUUGUUGGGGAUUACACACUGAGUUUUCGUAAACUCACCCCAUUUCUAACUGUGCAGGUAAUCCCUAAGCUUAGAUGGCCACACUACUGUUUCUGUUUCUUUUAAUUGCAAUAAGUAACCGGUUUAUUUUUUUAUAAGUUUUAUCUUAAUUAAUAUUAUUAUUUGGUUUUGGGUUGUAAUAAGUCCAUUUUAAUUAUUUUUCUGGGAUUAUUUUAUUUUAUACCCUAUAUUUUACUGAUAACAAUCCAAAAUGGGUUAGAAUUAGGGCGCGUUUCCAAAAUGAUAAUUGUUUUCAAAAUAACGCAACGAUACAAUUAAUCGGUUUAUCAAAAAUAUCUACUUAAAUGAAUUCCAACUCGUUUUUCUCAAAACCUAACCUCGCACCAAAGUCUGGCAAUGGUUGUGGGCAUGUCUAGGAUUGGAUCCAAUCAAGAGCUUGGUACUUAAGCAGCCUUCAUGGCUCACCUCCUCUGUUUCAGAUACCUACCUGGUGCAUAGCUUCCAUUCACUUUAUUAACUCAGCAAAGACUAUCUUUUAAAACACUAAGAAUGUAAUAUCCUGAUUUUGGGCCUAGUCGAAAUAGUGGUUUCGAGACCACAAAAUUCGAGAUAGAAAUAAUUAUUUCAUGAUUAUUUUAAGGUCUAUGAUAUGAUUGCAUGAUUGUGUGAAAAUUUUGUGAAGAAAUUUUAUGCAUAAAGUGCUUAAAUUGAAAUUAGGGACUAAAUCGAAUAAUUUGCAAAACUUGUAUUCUAGAAGUUUCUAGUAUGAAAUUCUUUUGAAAUAUUAAUUAGGAGGUCUUAAAUAGAAAUUUUACCAAUUUCUAAGUCUAUGGACAAAAAUUGGACAUGGAUGGAAUUUUUGGAAAGUUUAGUAGUAAGGGCAUUUUGGUCAUUUAGGGGUAAAAUAAAUUAAAAUACAAAAUUAAAAGCCAAUUUUGCUCAUCCUCAACCCCAUGGCCGAAUAUAGCAAGGAGAAACCAUGGCUAGGGUUUUUCAAGCUUCCAAGCUCGAUUGUAAGUCCGUUCUAGCCUCGUUUUUAAUGAUUUUUAUGUUUUUAGAGUCCCAGUAGCUCGAUUUAGCUUAUGCUAGCAAUAAUUUAACCUAGGGUUUAUAUUUGGAAAAAUACCCAUAGGUGAAAUUUGUGUAUUUUGGUGUUUUAUGAUAGAAUAUGAAGUUUUAAAUUAUGUUAGACAACUUGUGCUACUCGGUUUUAAGUGAAAACGAGCAAAAGGGCUUAAUCGGUAAAAAUACCUAAUAGUCAUAAGUACAUGUUAGAGUGAGAAUUUGAUGUUGCCUUAGAAGGGAAAAAUGAUCAGCAUGUCAUAAAACAUAAGAAAAUAGGCUGAAGUUUAAUUUACGAGCUUUGGGGAAAAAGUGUAAAUAUGCAAAAGUUUAGGGGCAAAAUUGUAAUUUUUCCAAAAUAUGAUUUUGGGUCAAUUUGAAUAAUGUGAGUCCUAAUUAGACUAUAUUUUAAAUGAUAGAGUAAGGAAAACUGAAAUUCGGGCUAAAAUGGGGAAAAUACCAAGUUGUGGACGAAAUGGUAAAAGUAGCCAUUUUCGCAUACGAGGUAAGUUCAUGUGUAAAUGUAGUAACAUGAUUGUCAUUUUAAGCAAUUUAAUGAUGUUUAUGUGAUAUGAUCCUGAUUAUUAUCAUGAAAUAUUAUGCUUUGUGGUUAUUUUCGAAUAAAAUGCAAAUUAUGUGCAUUAAUUGUUAAAUAUAAAGUACUACCGAGUAUUGGUUUCGGUAUUUUACGGAAGAUGGCAAGGAGAUGUGUUCGAGGAAAAUCCCGUUUGAACCUUAGGAAUAGAUUAGGAUACAAGUGACAUGUCACUAGGAUGGUUGAGCAUCCGAACUCGUUGAGUUCAGUCCGAGUUCACUUAUGGAUGCGAAUGUCCGAACUCGUUGAGUUGAGUCCGAGUUCGAGAGAUGUAACUAGGCAUCCGAGCUCGUUGAGUUGAGUCCGAGUUCACUUAUGGAUGCGAACGCCUGAGCUCGUUGAGUUGAGUCCGAGUUCACUUAUGGGCGGGUUACAUGGUAGCUUGGCUACAUAUGUGGCAUUUAUGUGCAAACUUUCCAUGUAUCGGAAUUAUAUUCCGAUGUGUUCAACGGGUAAAGUUCUACUGAAAUGGAGGAAUACUCAAGAUGAAAGGGAUGUAUUGUUAAGUGUUGUGAAAUGGGUACUUUGAACAGGUAUGUACUUAACCCUCGGGUUGAAAAAUCGAUAUAACAACAAUAUGGUAAGAUGAUAAAUGAAAAUGUGAUAUGAAUGUCUUGGUGAUGAUUAUGCAAAUGAUGUUUUAUGUUUGCUUAUAUGGUUAUGUUACUUGCUAUUUGCAUGUGAACUUAUUAAGCAUUUAUGCUUACUCCCUCCUUUUCAUUCCUUGUAGUUUUGACAAGCCAGCUCGAAAAUUGGGAACGGUCGGAGGCUUGCUCACACUAUCCGUAUACCAUCUUGGCAUAAUGGCUUGUAUAUUUUGAGUAUGGCAUGUAUAACAUUAUAAUCAUUUUGUAUAUAUGGUCUUAUAAUAUUGUUAUUGAGUGGUA